AUGCAUGGGGAAUGGUCGGGAUAGCUCAGCUGGUAGAGCAGAGGACU
rnacentral:tRNA from 1 species